rnacentral:lncRNA from 10 species
GAGAGGUGUGGCUGCAGCUGCUCAUGGCUUCUCAGGACAGAAUGCAAAGUGGGCGGCCCACAUCCCAGCCACAGCAAUGUCCUUUGCCUUGCCGUACAGUGUUUUGCAUUCACCCCAUGCCCUCACCACCCACCCCCUCAACCCAGGGGAUGCAGUGACGAUGCCAUCAUGACGCCAUCUCCAAAUACGGUCACAUUGGGGGUUAGUACUUCAACAUAUGAAUCUGAAGGAGAGACACAAUUCAGUCCUUAACACAGUGCUUUAUGGAUUGUAUCUGCAUCUUCCAUCUUAUCACCACCCAAAUCCAGCACCUGAAUUGAGAUUCCCAUGUGAUAUGCAGCAUGCUCAGAAAAAGGAAACCGGAUGAGACACCCAGCCCUUCAAGUGAUGCCCAAUUUUCUGGGAUGCUCGCUGUUGCUGUGUCCAGCCUGCUCUGCCCCCGGUCUUCUCCAUCUCAGCAAUGGCACUGCCAUUCUCCAAGUUUUACUGCUUUUGACCUAGAGCCACUACAGGACUCAGAGAGGAACUAGCAGAACUCAUUUAUUCAAGAUCUUUUUACUGCAUCUCCACCAUGAGCUGGUGAGAGGGUGAGUGACUUCAGAGUGAGUGCCUGUGCAUAAAGACAUCACCGUGACAGAGACAAUUUCGGGUACAGAACUCCGAAUGAGGUGCACAACAGGUCUGCAACUAGAAAACUGUGUGGGUAAAGCCCAAGAAGGAAACACAGAACUGGCAAAUGGAGAGAAAUCCUCAGGUAGUUCUUGCUGCCGCUGCCAUUUGGAUGCUUUGCUUUUGCUCAGCUGAGUACACAUAAAUUGAGAUUACAAUAACUUUAGCCACUUGGCACCCAUAUCUUGAUUUCUAAGACUACACUCCAAUAAAAGGGAUGAGGGUUCUGUGGAGAAAUGGGUGAUUCUAGGGCUGGGAUAGGAGAUACACAAGAUGAGCCUGGAGUAUCUUGCAGUGCCAAUAAGGAAGUACUCAAAAAUCAAACAACCCACAAUAAUGGAGGUAUGUCAGAGGAACACGAGCUAACUGAAAGAGCCCCCAGUGGCCAAAGCUGGAACAAUCUGAGCAACACAAUGAAUACCCUAGUACUGGAUUACAUAAAAGUUGAUCAUAUGGAUUGGGUUAUUCCUGUCAUAUCCAACUAAAACAGAAUCAAGAAGCCAAGCAGGGACAGAGCACCCUGGGCACGUAACACUGCCACAGGAAGGUAAUUCUCCGCAAGUCCAGCUGCUGAAACUGCCUAUUGUGACCUGAAACCAGUUUUAUCUAAUAGCUACUGAAACAAGCUGCUGUGAGUCUAAGAAUAGUUUUACACUCACCAAUCAGAGCUUGCCAGCUCCUCGAAACAUUACUAGUACCAAUGAACUGUCUCUCAAAACAAUGGGUAACAUUUCUGCUUUUUAUAAAACCUCCAACCUUCUUUGUUCUUCAGACAUAUGGAAGACCAUCCAGUCUGUGUAUAUGCCCAGAACUGCAAUUCUUGCUUCCCAAAUAAAACAGAGAAUUGUCUCUAUAUUUGACUCAACUUUGACAAUUAUAACCCAAAUAACAACAACAACAAAAAAACCAUUGAGUCCAUAUUGAUAUAAAUGACUAAAUAAAUAAGACAGGCCAGGCAUGGUGGCUCACGCCUGAAAUCCCAGCACUUUGGGAGGCUGAGGCAGGCUAAUUGCUUGAGUCCAAGAGUUUGAGACCAGUGUAGGCAACAUAGCAAGACCUUGUCUCAAAAAAAAUAAAUAAAUAAGAUAAAAUAAAAAUUGAUUCUGUCUCUAAACACUGUCAAGGUCAUCAAAAACAAGGAAAUUCUGAGAAACUCACAACCACAAGGAGCCUAGGGAGAUAUGACAAAUACACAUAACAUGGUAUCCUGGAUAGAAUCCCAGAACAGAAAAAGACAAUUAGGUUAAAAACUAGGGAAAUGUGAAUAAAACAUGGAAUUUGGUGAAUAAUGUAUCAAUUUUGGUUACAAUUAACACACUACAAUGUACCAUGGUGAUUAACAUGUUAACAACAGCCUGGCAGGAGGUAUCAUAUGGGAGAACUUCAGGCACUCUUUGCAACUUUUCUGUAUAUCUAAAACUAUUCUAAAAUUUAAAAGUUUAUUUAACAAGCAACCUUAGCUCUGAAUCAACUAGUCUUUGCUUUUUUUCCCCUUUUUUCUUUUAAGAGCAAGGAUGGUAAGCCACAUUUUAUAUCUCCACAGUACUUAGCUAUCCCUGGCCUCUGUAGGCGCCAAUCACUGCACAUUUGUGGGCUGGCAUUUGCUUCUAGACUCAGCCUUGCCCGCCCCUGUCACUGGCAGAGGCCACUGUGCAGCAUUCCAGGUCAGGGCCCACAGAUUCCUCCCACAUCAGCUCCCUCCAGGCUGAGGCCAUGAGAGGAGUACCAUCAGACACCCAAGAGGCGGUUAGUGUUUGCAGAACCCUCUCUGCCUUGCCUUUUAUGUAAUCUGGCCUUCUAAGAAUUAAUUUUACUCCUGGACUCCUGAUGUAACCUGUAUGCAAAAAUCCAGCCCCACACCCUAAAAGCUCUUUGAUCUGGACCAGGUGUUCCUCACCCCAGACCUCAGGCCCUGUGGGCAACUGAGGAACUUCUGCCAGAACAGGAACCCCUGGGUUUCCACGCCUUUUUAGGCCAUUUCAGAUGCAUCGCUGCUUUGGGGACAGGGAGGGUCAGGAAGGUGUGGAAAAGUGAAGCCUCAUCUUUCAGAAGAUAACCAAGAGCAAGGAAAGGAGAAAGACAGAGGAAGCAAAGCAAACAGAGAGGACAGGGAAGCACAGGCCUAGACAAGGAAGAGGAUUUUCCAAACUUCCUAGACUUUUGGGACCCCAGAGAGUUCACAGCAGCUCUGCUGCUUCACACAGCAUCACCAGCAUAUAUCUGAUUCUUACAUUACAAUAUUUGUGCCUUCCAUAGAAAUGGGCCCAAUUAAUGAGUGAGACUCCAGGAAAGAGCAUCAAUUAGUCAACACAAUUACAGUACCCCAUGAAGUAUCCAGAAAAAAAGCUAGAAAUCCAACUUUCCAUUAUAGAGAGGAGAAACCUCCUCCCAGAGACCCAAGGAAGCAGUAGCCUGUGCCCUACUGUGUGGGACUCUGGCAAAUCUCCCACUGAAGGUCCUGACUCAAAACUUUCAAGCAGGCCUGACUCUAGUUUAACCUUUUCAUCUGGAGGCCCCCUCCCCUUAUUUGAACAAGCAGUAAAGAAGAGUGUCUGGAAAUCACAGCAACUCUUUCAAUAAAACUUAAUGUUUAUGAAGAAAAAUACUCAAUUUAAGUGGUUAGCAACCAGCAAUAUUUUAGUACUUUAGACACGAUAUUUCAAAUAGAUGUCUAUUUUCUCAGUCACAGAUUCACCUCAAGAAAGUUUUGUAUUAUAAAAACAAAACUCUGUAACCAUUCCAAGGGUGAUGAAUCAAAAAAGUUCCCACACAUCUCAUUUAAAAAUCAAAAUACUUUCAAAUAUUUAAAUACCUACACCCUGAAAUCAACAAAAUAAAGGAACUCUCAGCUGGGUUCUCACCACCAGAAGAGUUGCAUUAGUGUUCCCGAAGCGAGAGUGAGCCCUGAGUCUCGGAGGGACAACCAGACACCUGCGCCCAGCCCUAGGGGCUUUCAAGAAAUCUGACUGUGGCCAACCUAGGGCAGUAAGCUGGAUAUGUUAAAAAGAAAGAUGAUUGCCAUAGUUCUCUUACUGCAGGCUUGGAAAAUAUAGAGAGGGAAACCCCACCCCCCACAGAUACCUUAACUAAAAUCAGUUCUGACUUGGAUAUUCUACACAGAUAAGAUCAGCAAGUACACAAGAUUUGGCAUCCUGCCUUUUCACCUGAAUCUUAGACUGUGAACAUAUUUCACGCUGCAACCAGACCGCAUGAUUAUAACAGGUUUUUAUUUCAGUCUAAAAUGUUUCUUACAAAGAAGUAACAUUUCUUCAGCUCUUCAGCAGCCACGGGCCUGCAAGCAGCAAGGACCCUGCAUGAUCAGGAUGGUCUCCACUACCACAAAAGCUGAGGUCACACUCAUUUAGAUCCCAACCGCCCCGCCAAGCAGAUGUGCGGAGCUGGAGUUUACUCAGCUACCAGGACACACACACACUCUGUUCGCUUCAAGAGGCCAGCCAAGUGAGAGAAAAGCCACUGAUUGGAAGACUGAAGCCACUACUCUCGGUGGGAUCUCAGACAAGGAUGCUCACUGCAGCAUUACCUGUACUAUAAAGGAUUUUAUACCAUAAAUUGAAAGAUUAAAUAGCAGCCUACAAGCCUGUCAGGGAAAUGGUAAAUAAUGGCUCCGUCAUAUGUGAAUACCAUAUAGACAUUUGAAAUGGAAAUCAGUUUUAUGACAACUUGACAAGCGAAAAAGUCAGAUUCUAAGUAAGAUCUACCAAUAUAAAGACAUAGAAGCACUCACGCGGAGUGGGAGAGAGGAAAAGAACACGUAUAAAAAUGUUAAGCACUGGGAGAUGGACACAUCAUGCUUUUCUGGUUUUCUUCCUCUAGACUAUGUUUUACUAAACCCUUUAUAGUAAGUAUGCAAAAUUUUAAUAACUGGGGAACUGUACCAUCCUUAGGUUGUUUAGUGCCUCUCUGGGGCUGAAUUCAUCUCAGCUGGAAGGGCUCUCCUUCCACAGGCUGCCUCGAAUCCCUCACACCCUCUCAGGGCCCUGUGCAUGGCUUCCCACCCCAGUCACGUGACUGCAUUCUGGACUUUGAGCUCAUCAGGAAAGUAACUGGGGCUUGGUCUUCCCUGACUGCAGGAUCAUGGGAAACAAAGAUACAGUGAGCCUGACAGGGAGGAGAGGGAACCAGAACAGGCCACACAGGAGGAACGGAGAUGGGAGUUCAUAAGGCUUGUGGGCAACUAGGGGGAGUGGGCAGCCUCGGGAAUGACCAUGGGAGAGGAAGCUGAAGGCUAGCGGCUCAGUAACAACAGACUCAUCCCUGCAGACAGAGUCAUCAGAAGGUGAUGGGACCUCAGAGACCUCUGGGGCCAGGGGUAACAUGGAGUGAUGCAGGGGAGGGACAGGAGUGGAGGGGAUGGUAGUCACCGGUCAAAGCGAAAGAGAUUCCAAGCCCACCUCUGGAGAGAGACAGGACAUGCAGAGAAAGGACCUCACUCCAUUUAGAGGCCUCUGGCUCUUCUGGGAGAACCAGCCAUCUUUCAGUUAUGUGAAGAGAUGGGGUGUGGGCAGGGGCAUCUGCAAGGAGGGAUGGGGGUGCAGGAGCUUCUUUAUGCAAAGGUGGAGGCUCAGGCAAGAGGGUGGAGAGGAAGACCGGACUUCACUAGACUGACUACAGAUGCAGUCCAUCUGUUGGGUGCAGCCAAUGUGCAACCUUGGCUAGCCACACAGAAGAGGGUCUCCCUCUCAACCAUCCAUGGGAGCAGAGUAGCCAACAGGAAGGUGGGGUAGGGACAGGAAGAGAAAGGACUGAGAGCUGGUCCACGCUGCUAUGUUUAGGCAGGGCUCAGAAGUAAUACUAAUGAUGAGGUGUUUUGAGGCAUGGACCACAGGGACAUUCAGUGUAGGAUGAACCUGCCUGAAGGAAGCCAACUCUGCAACAAAGAUGGACACAGACUAGCCUGCCCUUCCCACUGGCAGUGGCGACAGAUCCCACAUGCAGCAAGACAUUAGAAAGACAAGACCGGGGGGGAACAUGAUCCAUCAGGACUUGGCCCCACAGCAGCCCCACCUUGCACUUGACCAUCUCUGCCCCGCCUGGGGCAGCCCUGCAGCCACAAGCCCAGUUUCAAGAAAUACCUGUUUCUGACCACAAGCAUCACAAGAGUGAAACUAAGCAAUGCUUGCUUCCUGUCUCCUAGCACGAAAACUAGUAGGACUGACUGGGUCACAAAACACAAAGAAUUCGAUGAAUGGAAAAAAUGAAAAGCAAAUUUGGGGUAAUGGUAACCUAGAGAGAAGGUGGGAAGGCAUAUGUAGUUUCAAGUGUAUUGGUCAUGAAAAUGUCUAAAGCUGAGUUGCGAUUCACUGUAUUGUUAUUCCUAUCAUUUUUCACAUAAAGGACUGCCUAAUAAACAUUUUAUUAUUA